AUCAGCACCGUGUGUCCUGAAAUGCCAAGAAACUGCCAAGGAUAUUCCCUACUGAAUGUGGGCAUCACUGUCCACCUCUCCUCAUUAGACUCCCCAUGCGCCCAAGCGUAUCACAAUUCUCUGGCAAUGGUGGGUUAAUCACAGAGACUGCAAGGAUCCCUUCAGAGCCUGGCUAUCAGCAGAGGUCCAAGCACCAGCUCAGCAGCAGAACCCAAAGAAUCACAGAACUUUCUGCCUUAAUCCCAAGUCCUCACACACAUGGACUGUAAACUGCUGGAACUCCAAAGCCAGUCUUCAAGGUCCAUGAAGCUGAAACAAUUAAGAGUUACUCACCAGGGAUCCCUGGGUGGCGCAGCAGUUUGGCCCCUGCCUUUGGCAAGGGCGUGAUCCUGGAGACCCCGAUCGAAUCCCACAUCAGGCUCCCGGUGCAUGGAGCCUGCUUCUCCCUCUGCCUAUG